UCAGAAAGAAAAAAGCAAUAAAUAAAGCUAAUAAUCAUUUACUGAAUGCAUACUGGUUUUUAAAAAGUCACAUUCCAGUUUACAAAGAGAAUACAGAAUGUUUCUUGUCUUUCCAGGUCCUCUUCAUCAUUCAGUUAAAAAAAAAAUUAGCCUGAGAUUUUGCAAAGAUGGAGGCAGUGGCCUAAAUUUUAAUUCUCCCUGAAUCUUCCCACCAAUACAGAGAAAGAAAGCCAACUGGAAUGUGGCAAUCUGAAAACAGAAAUCAAAGCUGGAGGGAUUUCUCGGGAUCUAAUUUCCCGGUCAAAGCCUUGAACUAGAAGGAAAUUCUGGGAGUAGAAUCCAAACUGAACAGGACAAAGUCAACAAGUCCAAAGGAAAAUGUUGCUGCAGGACUCAGGAGAUGACAAACUUAUUCUGGAAAGUGCCAGAUAGUAAACUUGCAAGCUUUAUUGUGGGCCACAUGCAUUCUCUGUCACAUAGUCUUCCUUCAUUCUCUCCUCUCUCCCUCCCUUCUUUCUUUUUUUUUCCCCCCACAAUGUUUUAAAAAUGUGAGAAACAUUCUUAGCUUGAUGUCCAUAUUUGUUCUAUAGGUGGUGGUUUUCCUGUCUUAAUCUAGGUUUAAAUGAUCAAGAGAAGCAAAGGAAGCCCAUCUCAGAAAGUAGGACCCCAUAUUAUUGUAGGCACUUUGCAAAAACUACAAAAGAGGGAGCUGUAGAGCUCAUCCCUUCUUUCAGAAAGGACCUGAACUCAUUUUACUUAAAAUUAGGUGUUAGAAAAAGUAAGUUGAAUCUCAUACCAAUUUAACAUAGGAAAAAGGAGAGUAUGGAGUAGCAGACCGUCCCUACAGACAAGGAAAAUAAGAGAGAAGCCCUCAAAGAAAUGAAACCAUAACUUAUUUCAAAACAAAAUACAUUAGGACUAUAAUGUGGAAUAUGAAUAAACAGCAUAAGCUACAAUGACGAAAAUGGAGAAAUACACUACUCUGAAGAAAACUGAUAGCAAAGUGUUUUCGAAUAUAUGUAUGUAAACUGUUGAAUCCUGAUUUCAACUGUCUAAUAAUGUGAGCAUAAGAAAGUAAGCUUCCCUUUGUAGUUUCUUAUGUCUUAGGGAGGAUCUCUGGUUUUGUAAAAGAUAUAAUCUAACUCUGUCUUAAUUCUUGUUCCUUCUCUUACCAGGUCUUUUGUCCAAGAGGGAAUCGCCUUUUCUUUGAAGCCAUCCAUCCAGUGGAUGUAUUAAAACGGUAGAAAUUUAUUUUGUGAGUAACUUUACUAAAUAGAGCAUGAUAAUAAAAAUAAUAUUUAUAAUUUCAGAAGUUACAAUAAAUUAAUCCUAUUUUUAAUAAGUAAAUUAUAUGGGUGAGAUGGAUGUUAUGUCUUACUCCAGGGUUGUUUUGAUCAAAUCUCAAGGGGUGAUUAAAUCUACUGAAAUUCAUCAAAUUUAUCAUUUGUCUGAAAGAUGACCUUUUCUAAACUACCGAGUGCACUUAAUCCAUUAUACGAAUGUACACCAUUCCGGGAGGAGAGGAUUUCCAUUUUCCUAAUAUUACCCUUCUUGCAAUCAAUGCUGUUCUCAAGAGGAUUUUUGUUUCAUGGACUAGAUGUUCUUUGUAAAUUCUCAACAUGACCUAAUAUAAAAAUCAAUGCAUCUUUAGGUAAGUUCAUUUCUAUUAUUAGAUCUCACUGUAGCUUCAUGCUAACGUGUUUUGAAAUAUAAGCAGAGCCCUACCACAGGGCACGGCUUUUUCCUGGUAAUGCAUUAAAUUUCGUUAUGGUAAAAACCAUUAUAGUAACAAUAAAACACACCACAGAUUUUUAAAAAGUCUCUCAGCUCCAGACGAUUGCCAACAAUGUUUUUGCUUUAAUGUUCUCAUUACAAUAUUAGUCUUAAUUAAGUUAAAAAGUGCUUUUCUCCAGGUGAUGUCUCUGUGAUCUUCCCUUAUGAUAACAGAACACAGAUUUUCUGGCUCAGCAAGGACCAAAGGAAGCUCUUUCUGUGACACUCAGGUUUAAAGUAAGGAGGAAGAUCUCCACGGCUGUCUCAGGAGGAUGUAAGGCAUCUCUGAGGAUUUAUCUCUACUGAUGCACGCCAGCAGUAUGUGGCCUUUUCUUGAACUCGUCAGAAUUGUGACUUUUCUUUGAACUCCUGGCUGCUUGGCGCUACUGACCUUGUUGCUCGUUUAUAACUCGGGUGCCAUUUAUCACUCCCAGACUUACAGAUAUUGUUGUGGAAAGAGACUGAAUGCAAUCAUUCAUGCCAUUGCCUCUUUCUCGUGGUGCCUUCCAGCUUCCUUCCUUACAGGAUAACUGAUAGGGAGAGAUUAGUGACAAAGCUGUAAUUCUAUUGAGGGAUUGUGAUGUAACUGUAUCAUAAACCAUGAAGUGAGACUCCAGAGGUUUGAGAUCACGAAUGCUGAGAUUAAGUUACAGCAGCCGCAGUCAAUCUCUGUCAAUAUGUGUCUUGUGAUGGUUUGUAAUCUGCCUGUAAAAUAUUAGCUACCUGUAGAAAAUAGCUUUUUUUCUGGUAUUGACUUUAUUGUAUAGCUUCUGCAAUUUCAGAGCGUAAAAGAAAUAUUGAUUUUUAUUUUUACUAAUACAUACAUUUAGAGAGCAUUAAGAAAACUUGCUCUUUUGUUUGGUGAUACUUUUUUUUUUUAAAUUGAGGUAGAAUUGACAUAAUGUUCUGUUAGUUUCAGGAGUACAAGGCAAUGAUUCAAUAUUGUGGUAAUACAUGUUUUAACUCUGUGAAACUUUUAGGAGGUUUCUCAUUUACCACUUGAAAUAUUUAGGUUUUAAUACUUUGAACUUUUUAUGAGCAUGUAAAAUUUUAAAAGAGAAUUUAUCGAGGUGAAAUUCACAUAGUAAAAUUAACCCUUUUAAAGUAAACAAUCCAAUGGCCUUUAGUACGUUCACAGUAUUGUGCAAUCACCACCACCAACUAGUUCCAAAAUACUUCCAUCACCCAAGAUCAAACUUCGUAUCCAUUCAGUGGUUUCUCCUCACUCUCCUUGUCUCCUAGCCCCAUGUGUGAAAUUUUCAAAGUGAAAAUAAAUUAAUUGACUUGAUAUAUUGUUUAUUUAACACUUAGAAGGAAUUAAAGCCAUUAUUUUUGAGUUAUCCAUAUCGUUUCAGUUAUUUAUGCCUUUAGCAGCAUUUUCUAAGUGAUAUCCAUAUCAUUUCAUUUUUGGGGGAGGAAGUUGUCCAUAUAACACAAAUUUAUGGGAGUAUUAAUAGACAUUAUUUAUUAAGUGUGCCAAAGAAACUGAUUAAGCUAGUAUACACAGAUUUCCUUCUGGCAGGAUUUUCAGAAACCUUUUGGAUGAUAAUAAAAUUUGCUUCUCUUUAAUCUGAGCCAUGGUAUACAGCAUUCCUGAAUUAUUUGCCUCAUUUUUUGUGGAGCAUCCUGAGCCUACUGUUGAGAUCCGUUCUUUGUCAAACAAUAGUCUAGCCCUAAUUAUGACAUGAUUAGAAGAUGUAUCAAGAAAUAGGAGAUUUUUCACUAAAGUAAUUUUAAAAAAUAUGAAUCAGAAUUUUAAAGCUCAUGCUGACAUCAUACUCUUAGAAAGAGCAAAGGGCUGAGAUUCAGGAUUUCUGGAAUUUCUUCUAGUAAAUCGUUUUUGUACAUUAUCUGUAUUUCUAUCAGUAACCCUAUCAAUAAGUAUUAUUGUCCUAAUUUUAUAGAUGAGGUAACUGAAGUGCAUGGAUACAUUAUUUACCUUUAACCAUCUGAAAAUAUUUUGGGAUUAAGUGACUCACCCAAUAUCUCACAGUAGUAAAUGGUGAAGUAACGGUUUGAGUUCAGAUGCCUGAGCUUACAAAUCCUGCAAACUUCCUUUUUACUCUGCAGCAUCACUGUGCAAGCAUGAGCUUGGGCCUCUCUGGAGCUUAGUUUUCAUAUUUAUAAAAAUGAAGAAACUGAAUGACCUCUAAGCUCUGUUCUAGCUUCGAAAUUCUGUUGCUUAAAUUCUGUACUAUUUCACAACCUGUCUAAAGGCUUAGUUAAAAAAAAUUAUAUCCCUAUAUUUGGAAUCUCAAGAUCCCAAUAAAAAUGUUAAAAUACAUUCCCAAAUAAAUCAACAAUUAUGACAACUGACCUUGAUACAAACCUUCCAGAACUCAGAAUAAGUUAUAGAAUCAAGGGAGGAGCUCUGCUUUGCUUUUAUAAAUAUAGUUAAGACCAAGGUAAAUACAUGACUUGCCUUAAGCACUGGGGUGUCUUAGCCAUAGACUGAGCUUUCAGAGAGGGUGCGUGUGUGUUUCCCUUCACCUGGCCAUCCUUGUUCAUCAAAUAAAGGAGUCAAUUCUGGAGCCUAGGUCUGUAUCCAGGUGGGAGGAGAGAGAACAUCAAAAAAAGACCCACCACCUUUAAAUCAACUCAUUUGUUAUUUUAUUAGAAGAAAAGAUUAGAGUGAAUAGAUUUAGUCAAACCUCAAAUGACCAAAUGGAUUUUAUUUUAUCCCCAACUUUAAAAUAUUUUUUGCCUAUUUAGAAAGAUCAGUGUUUCUUCUCCUUUUUGUAAACACGUGCAUCUCAAAAAAAUUUCUCAAAUUUCCCUUCCCUCUGAUUAUGAUAAACCAUCUUAAAGUUGCUGUAUCAUAUCCAUCUUACUACUUACGAAGAAGCUUUCAUAAGCUUUCUGUUCUAUGAUUUGUAUUAUUUAUUAUUAUGAUAUGACAAAUUACUUUUUGUUUGCUUUGUAAAAUUUCAAAUAAAUAUCAUAUUAAAUAUGGUUUU